rnacentral:rRNA from 1 species
CCGGCGACCGGCGGACGGGUGCGUAACGCGUAUGUAACCUACCUUUGACAGGGGGAUAACAUCGAGAAAUUGGUACUAAUACCCCAUAACAUCACCGGAGGCAUCUUCGGUGGUUGAGAACUCAGGUGGUCAGAGAUGGACAUGCGUUGUAUUAGCUAGUUGGUGAGGUAACGGCUCACCAAGGCGACGAUACAUAGGGGGACUGAGAGGUCAACCCCCCACAUUGGUACUGAGACACGGACCAAACUCCUACGGAAGGCAGCAG